GAUGAACGCUGGCGGCGUGCCUAAUACAUGCAAGUCGAGCGAACAGACGAGGAGCUUGCUCCUCUGACGUUAGCGGCGGACGGGUGAGUAACACGUGGAUAACCUACCUAUAAGACUGGGAUAACUUCGGGAAACCGGAGCUAAUACCGGAUAAUAUAUUGAACCGCAUGGUUCAAUAGUGAAAGACGGUUUUGCUGUCACUUAUAGAUGGAUCCGCGCCGCAUUAGCUAGUUGGUAAGGUAACGGCUUACCAAGGCAACGAUGCGUAGCCGACCUGAGAGGGUGAUCGGCCACUCUGGAACUGAGACACGGUCCAGACUCCUACGGGAGGCAGCAGUAGGGAAUCUUCCGCACUGGGCGAGAGCCUGACGGAGCAACGCCGCGUGAGUGACGAAGGUCUUCGGAUCGUAAAACUCUGUUAUUAGGGAAGAACAAAUGUGUAAGUAACUAUGCACGUCUUGACGGUACCUAAUCAGAAAGCCACGGCUAACUACGUG
rnacentral:rRNA from 1 species